rnacentral:rRNA from 1 species
GUACACGCUGUGACUAGCAUAUCAAUAAGCGGAGGAAAAGAAACUAACAAGGAUUCCCCUAGUAACGGCGAGUGAAGCGGGAAGAGCUCAAAUUUGAAAUCUUAAAGGGUUUCCCUUUACGAAUUGUAGUUUAAAGAAGUGUUUUCUGUUGAGGUUUUGGUAAAAGUUCUUUGGAAUAGGACAUCAUAGAGGGUGAGAAUCCCGUAUUUGACCUUUACUUUCAACUUUGUGAUACACUUUCAAAGAGUCGGAUUGUUUGGGAAUGCAGUCCAAAAUGGGUGGUAAAUUUCAUCUAAAGCUAAAUAUUGGCGAGAGACCGAUAGCGAACAAGUACCGUGAGGGAAAGAUGAAAAGAACUUUGAAAAGAGAGUUAAACAGUACGUGAAAUUGUCAAAAGGGAAGCGUUUGACACCAGUGUUGUUUUUCUGAAAAUCAAUUAAAGAACUGUUUAUGCUAAGCUGUUUAGACUUUAUCAGCUAAUCUGUUUAGUUUUGAGCUUUUCUUUAAUGCACUUUUCAGCUAACAAGUCAACAUCAAUUUCUUUUGCUGUAAAAAAGCUUGAGGAAGGUGGCUUGAGAUUCGUCUUAAGUGUUUAUAGCCUCUUGCCUAUGCAGUCGGAGAGAUUGAGGUCUGCAGCGUAGAUCCUUCGGGGCUAAAUGCAUUUGUGCUAAGUUAUAGCAUUUCAUAGACAACUUGUUGACUAUGAUUUGUCUUGUAGCUUACUCGCUUAUGUUAUUUUACCUACGCUUAGGAUGUUGACGCGCGUGUGUGCGUG